UACAGAGGGGGCAAGCGUUGUUCGGAAUUACUGGGCGUAAAGGGCGCGUAGGCGGCCUGCUAAGUCGAACGUGAAAUCCCCGGGCUCAACCCGGGAACUGCGUCCGACACUGGUAGGCUUGAAUUCGGGAGAGGGAUGCGGAAUUCCAGGUGUAGCGGUGAAAUGCGUAGAUAUCUGGAGGAACACCGGUGGCGAAGGCGGCAUCCUGGACCGACAUUGACGCUGAGGCGCGAAAGCCAGGGGAGCAAACGGG
rnacentral:rRNA from 1 species